CCAAGACCCCCAACUUGCAAGACCCCAUCCCACGAUGGACACAUCAGUGAGACAGCGUUUCAAGGAGAUCUCUGUUCUUCAAACUACAUACAGAGGAUCCCAUCUCUAUUAAAUCCUGGGGGUCUUCAGAGCCUUGGCAAGCCCCUGGGUGCAUGAGACGUGUCUUCCAUGAGUGACCUUUCCCUACUCCAACCAUCCUUAUUUAAACCAACACAGCUGCGGUUUCCCAGCUUCUGAUGUACUGCGACAAGUUUCUGUUGGCUCUAUUAACAACAUUAGCAAGUUGUUUUUAAGGCCUCUUUUGUCAUAUCUUACUGCUUUUGCACUUAUCUCACCAGAGUUUGUGGUGGUUCAUGUUUUCCCCACCGAGGCAUGAAUUCCUCUAUUGAAGGACUUGUCCUUUCU
ensembl:lncRNA